UUUUGAAACAGAUAAAGAAGUGUGGCC
rnacentral:sRNA from 1 species